CCAGCAGCCGCGGUAAUACGGAGGGUGCGAGCGUUAAUCGGAAUUACUGGGCGUAAAGGGUGCGUAGGUGGUUUAAUAAGUUAUCUGUGAAAUCCCUGGGCUCAACCUGGGAAGGUCAGAUAAGACUGUUUGACUCGAGUAUGGGAGAGGGUAGUGGAAUUUCCGGUGUAGCGGUGAAAUGCGUAGAGAUCGGAAGGAACACCAGUGGCGAAGGCGGCUACCUGGCCUAAUACUGACACUGAAGCACGAAAGCGUGGGGAGCAAACAGGAUUAGAUACCCUGGUAGUCCACGCCGUAAACGAUGUCAACUAGCUGUUGGAA
rnacentral:rRNA from 1 species